GCAUAUCAAUAAGCGGAGGAAAAGAAACUAACAAGGAUUCCCCUAGUAACUGCGAGUGAAGCGGGAAAAGCUCAAAUUUAAAAUCUGUCAGCUUUGGCUGUCCGAGUUGUAAUCUAGAGAAGUGUUAUCCGCGCUGGACCGUGUACAAGUCUCCUGGAAUGGAGCGUCAUAGAGGGUGAGAAUCCCGUCUUUGACACGGACUGCCAGGGCUUUGUGAUGCGCUCUCAAAGAGUCGAGUUGUUUGGGAAUGCAGCUCAAAAUGGGUGGUAAAUUCCAUCUAAAGCUAAAUAUUGGCGAGAGACCGAUAGCGAACAAGUACCGUGAGGGAAAGAUGAAAAGAACUUUGGAAAGAGAGUUAAACAGUACGUGAAAUUGCUGAAAGGGAAACGCUUGAAGUCAGUCGCGUUGUCCAGGGAUCAACCUUGCUUUUGCUUGGUGUACUUUCUGGUUGACGGGUCAGCAUCAAUUUUGACUAUUGGAAAAAGGUCAGGGGAAUGUGGCAUCUUCGGAUGUGUUAUAGCCCUUGGUUGUAUACAAUGGUUGGGAUUGAGGAACUCAGCACGCCGCAAGGCCGGGUUUUUAACCACGUACGUGCUUAGGAUGCUGGCAUAAUGGCUUUAAUCGACCCGUCUUGAAACACGGACCAAGGAGUCUAACAUGCCUGCGAGUGUUUGGGUGGAAAACCCGAGCGCGUAAUGAAAGUGAAAGUUGAGAUCCCUGUCAUGGGGAGCAUCGACGCCCGGACCAGACCUUUUGUGACGGUUCCGCGGUAGAGCAUGUAUGUUGGGACCCGAAAGAUGGUGAACUAUGCCUGAAUAGGGUGAAGCCAGAGGAAACUCUGGUGGAGGCUCGUAGCGAUUCUGACGUGCAAAUCGAUCGUCAAAUUUGGGUAUAGGGGCGAAAGACUAAUCGAACCAUCUAGUAGCUGGUUCCUGC
rnacentral:rRNA from 1 species